UACGUAGGGGGCAAGCGUUGUCCGGAAUCAUUGGGCGUAAAGCGCGUGUAGGCGGUCCGGUAAGUCCGCUGUGAAAGUCAGGGGCUCAACCCCUGAAUGCCGGCCGAUACUGUCGGGCUAGAGUCCGGAAGAGGCGAGUGGAAUUCCCGGUGUAGCGGUGAAAUGCGCAGAUAUCAGGAAGAACACCCGUGGCGAAGGCGGCUCUCUGGGACGGUACUGACGCUGAGACGCGAAAGCGUGGGGAGCGAACAGG
rnacentral:rRNA from 1 species